rnacentral:rRNA from 1 species
GAUGAACGCUGGCGGCGUGCUUAACACAUGCAAGUCGAACGGUGAAGCAGGAGCUUGCUCUUGUGGAUCAGUGGCGAACGGGUGAGUAACACGUGAGCAACCUGCCCCUGACUCUGGGAUAAGCGCUGGAAACGGCGUCUAAUACUGGAUAUGUGAUGUGACCGCAUGGUCUGCAUCUGGAAAGAAUUUCGGUUGGGGAUGGGCUCGCGGCCUAUCAGGUUGUUGGUGAGGUAAUGGCUCACCAAGGCGUCGACGGGUAGCCGGCCGGAGAGGGUGACCGGCCACACUGGGACUGAGACACGGCCCAGACUCCUACGGGAGGCAGCAGUGGGGAAUAUUGCACAAUGGGCGGAAGCCUGAUGCAGCAACUCCGCGUGAGGGAUGACGGCCUUCGGGUUGUAAACCUCUUUUAGCAGGGAAGAAGCGAAAGUGACGGUACCUGCAGAAAAAGCACCGGCUAACUACGUGCCAGCCGCCGCCGUAA